UACGAAGGGGGCUAGCGUUGCUCGGAAUCACUGGGCGUAAAGCGCACGUAGGCGGCUUGUUAAGUCAGGGGUGAAAUCCUGGAGCUCAACUCCAGAACUGCCUUUGAUACUGGCAAGCUUGGAGUCCGGGAGAGGUGAGUGGAACCGCGAGUGUAGAGGUGAAAUUCGUAGAUAUUCGCAAGAACACCAGUGGCGAAGGCGGCUCACUGGCCCGAUACUGACGCUGAGGUGCGAAAGCGUGGGGAGCAAACAGG
rnacentral:rRNA from 1 species